CAGUAGCCGCGGGAAUACAGAGGGUGCGAGCGUUAAUCGGAUUUACUGGGCGUAAAGCGUGCGUAGGCGGCUUUUUAAGUCGGAUGUGAAAUCCCUGAGCUUAACUUAGAAAUUGCAUUCGAUACUGGGAAGCUAGAGUAUGGGAGAGGAUGGUAGAAUUCCAGGUGUAGCGGUGAAAUGCGUAGAGAUCUGGAGGAAUACCGAUGGCGAAGGCAGCCAUCUGGCCUAAUACUGACGCUGAGGUACGAAAGCAUGGGGAGCAAACAGGAUUAGAUACCCGAGUAGUCCCUGUCUCUUAUAA
rnacentral:rRNA from 1 species